rnacentral:rRNA from 1 species
CCGGCGACCGGCGCACGGGUGAGUAACACGUAUGCGACCUGCCCCCCGCAGGGGGAUAACCGGGAGAAAUCCCGACUAAUACCGCGUAACGCCGCGGACCUGCAUGGGUCUGCGGCCAAAGGAAGCGAUUCCGGCGGGGGAUGGGCAUGCGGCGCAUUAGCUAGUUGGCGGGGUAACGGCCCACCAAGGCGACGAUGCGUAGGGGUUCUGAGAGGAAGGUCCCCCACACUGGUACUGAGACACGGACCAGACUCCUACGGGAGGCAGCAG